rnacentral:lncRNA from 1 species
GGGGGGGGGGGGGGGGGGGGGGGGGGGGGGGGGGGGGGGGGGGGGGGGGGCCAGUGCUCCCAGUUCCCCCAGUGCCCCCAGCGCCUCCAGCGCCCCCAGCGCCCCCAGUUCCCCCAGUGCUCCCAGCGCCCCCAGUGCCCCCAGUGUUCCCAGUGCUCCCAGUGCUCCCAGCGCCGAGUCAAUGGUUAACCCGCGCUCACCCCGCGCCUCCCCUCCUGACGAAGCAGCCCAGGCUCUCUGCUCCGCAGAGCUGGAGCGGCACAGGAGCCCCACACACCUCCCUGAGCACCUGGGCACAGAUUUCCAAUGAAGAAAGAAAACAACCCCUGGGACC